CAAAUGUCAAAAAUUCAAACUUCUCUUAAAAACCCGAAUGUCCCCCAAACUUGCAGUAGUAUUGAUAAGGGAAUUCAAACAUGGCCUGCUGUACUUGCUGCGGUUUCUGCACCGAAUUUCAUCAAUUUAUAACCCCGUGUUGUCUGGUGAGACAAAAUAACCAGUGUUACCCUGAAUUUCAAAAUGCCAUCGUUGUUGUAAACCCAGCAUCAUCACUUGUUCUCGAUGCAAGUGAGAUUGAAAUAAAAGUGAGAGAAUACGUAGCAAGUCCAACCCAACUAUGGCGUUUCGACUGUGCCAAACGUGGAAAUUUUUAUGUAUAUAAUUUUGGAACUGAAAGGUACUUGAGUGUGGAUGGCACGUCUUUAAUACAUGACAAAGCUGAACAAGAGUGGUACUAUAAUUUUGAUGAUAUGACCAUCAUCAAUCCAGCAGACAAUAAAGUGAUGGAAAUAACAGACUGGGCUCUUCUCCCAGGAACACCUGUACAGAUGAAUGACAGCAGCGGAGGUGCUAAUCAAAGAUUCUGUGUACAGUUUAAACAAUAAAUGUUUUUAUAAAUGAAAA